AUUGAACGCUGGCGGCAGGCCUAACACAUGCAAGUCGAACGAGUGGCGGACGGGUGAGGAAUGUCUGGGAAACUGCCCGAUGGACGGGGUAAACUACUGGAAACGGUAGCUAAUACCGCAUACCAGCGGAUGUGCCCAGAGGGGAGUAGCGAGUAGGUGGGGUAAAGGCUCACCUGGGCGACGAUCCCUAUAUGGUCUGAGCGGAUGACCCGCAACACUGGAACUGAGACACGGUCCAGACUCCUACGGUAGGCAGCAGUGGGGAAUAUUGCACAAUGGGCGCAGGCCUGAUGCAGCCAUGCCGCGUGUGUGAAGAAGGCCUUCGGGUUGUAAAGCACUUUCAGCGGGGAGGCGUUACCCGCAGAAGAAGCACCGGCUAACUCCGUGCCAGCAGCCGCGGUAAUUC
rnacentral:rRNA from 1 species